UUGGAUAAAGACGAGAAUGUUGGUUUGAAGGAAAACAAUGAAUGGUACAGUUCUACAAAUGAGAUAAGAAGAUAGUUGAUGGUAUAUAUAACGAAGACGUGUACUAUUUAGAAGGAAUGAUUGCUAAUGUUAAAACACAUACGUCACUUGCAGUUCUGUCAUAUGAGCAUGAAAGGCAUGGACGUAGUUGUGACAGAAGGAUACAUCACAUACAAAGAAGUUCAAAAACUUAAAUUUUGUGAAAGUUGUACUCGAAGAAAAGGUAACAAACCUACUUUUAUAGCAAAUUAUCGCAUUUUCCAAAAUAAUUUUUAUAUAAGUAGUUUCUUAAGAAUCUUUCCAUAAAUAACCCUCUCUCUCUCUUAAAACUUGCUCUGCCUUCUCUCCUCUAUCUGAUCUUCUUCUUAGUUUUAUUUGUUUUUUUGUUUGUGGAUGGUAGUUUGGAUCGUGUUGAAGAUCGUGCACGUUUGUUUCAAAGGAAAAACCUUUAUGGUGUGGCUGAAAGAUAAAUUUGAUUGGGAUCCUUCCGAUCUGUUUUUGUCGGUUCCGGAUCUUUAUGUUCCAUGGUGUAGCUCGCCUCUAGUUUUCUUGCUCAAAGAUCUAACAUGCAUGUAUUCUGUUCGGUGACAUUGAUCUUUACUCUUGCACUUCUUAAUGGUCUUCAGCUUUGGUGGUUCCUCGUUGGAUCCAAGCUCCCUCUCGUCCUUGAUUGAUCUCUGAGCUAAGUCAGUGUUUUUUCCUUGGCGUUCCCUUGUCGUUCUCUUGUCGACAUCGCCUCUACCUGAAGGCCAGAUCUUGAAGUCGUUUUUCUAUUGAUUGCGCUCUCUCACUAUAGGGGAGGUCUCAGUUAUCAAUAUGAUUGGAUAACUUUACCAGUUAAUUUCAAGGGGUUCGGGAUGUUCUGCUAGAUUAGUUUAAAGCCUCUUCGUUUUAAGGCGAUUUGAAGUGUUUAUAGUAUGGUUCUAUCUCUUGUUUGUGUUGAUGUAGUAUGUCUGGUUUUCCUUGUUUGGACUAAUGGUUUCCGGGAAACAUAGUUUCGCCGGCAAAGUCUCCGGAGAUGUCUCCGUGUCUGCCGGCUUUAUGUGUGUAUUUAUUGUAUUCCACCAAUGUAUUAUACCUUGUUCAAUAUAUAAUCUUCAGUAUUAAAAAAGUAGUUUCUUAAA